rnacentral:lncRNA from 1 species
CUGACCCCUCCUGAGUUAAGAAGAAUGAAACAAUUACUCUCUGAAUUUGGUUUGCCAUUCCAUAGUUUGCAUGCCCAUCCAGGUCACAGAGAAAUUAGACACCCAGCAACAGAGAGAACUGCUACCCAGUUGUCAGCAGCUGAAUUGCCAGUUUAAAUGUGCAGUGAUCAGAAAUAUUACAAGAUGUUACUGUGAGGAUGGAUUUGAAGUAACAGAAGAUGGGAGAAGCUGUAAAGGCAAGUAUGAAAUGUGACUCUCUUUAUUAGUUGGCAUGUUAUUUUUCUAGACAAGUAUGUGAGAUAAGUACAU